rnacentral:tRNA from 1 species
GAGGGUAUAGCUCAGUGGUAGAGCGCAUGCUUAGCAUGCAUGAGGUCCUGGGAUCAAUCCCCAGUGCCUCCG